rnacentral:rRNA from 1 species
UGGGGAAUAUUGCACAAUGGGCGCAAGCCUGAUGCAGCCAUGCCGCGUGUGUGAAGAAGGCCUUCGGGUUGUAAAGCACUUUCAGCGAGGAGGAAGGUGGGUGAGCUUAAUACGCUCAUCAAUUGACGUUACUCGCAGAAGAAGCACCGGCUAACUCCGUGCCAGCAGCCGCGGUAAUACGGAGGGUGCAAGCGUUAAUCGGAAUUACUGGGCGUAAAGCGCACGCAGGCGGUUUGUUAAGUCAGAUGUGAAAUCCCCGGGCUCAACCUGGGAACUGCAUUUGAAACUGGCAAGCUAGAGUCUCGUAGAGGGGGGUAGAAUUCCAGGUGUAGCGGUGAAAUGCGUAGAGAUCUGGAGGAAUACCGGUGGCGAAGGCGGCCCCCCUGGACGAAGACUGACGCUCAGGUGCGAAAGCGUGGGGCAGCAAACAGGAUUAGAUACCCUGGUAGUCCACGCUGUAAACGAUGUCGAUUUGGAGGUUGUGCCCCUUGAGGCGUGGCUUCCGGAGCUAACGCGUUAAAUCGA